CCUACGGGAGGCAGCAGUGGGGAAUUUUGCGCAAUGCUCGUAAGAGUGACGCAGCGACGCCGCGUGAAUGACGAAGGCCUUCGGGUCGUAAAGUUCUGUCGACAGGGAAGAAAAUGCCUAUAAGUAACUGAGUAUGUAUUGACGGUACCUGGAUAAGCAGCCCCGGCUAACGCCGUGCCAGCAACCGCGGUAAUACGGAGGGGGCGAGCGUUGUUCGGGGUGGCUGGGCGUAAAGAGCACGUAGGCGGUGUUGUAAGUCAUUAGUCAAAGGCCAGAGCUCAACUUUAGUAAGGCUGGGGAGACUAUAAGACUAGAGUAGCAGAGAGGAAUGCAGAAUUCCUGGUGUAGCGGUGAAAUGCGUAGAUAUCAGGAGGAAUACCGUUAGCGAAGGCGGCAAUCUGGCUGGAAACUGACGCUGAGGUGCGAAAGCGUGGGUAGCAAACAGGAUUAGAUACCCUGGUAGUC
rnacentral:rRNA from 1 species